GACGAACGCUGGCGGCGUGCUUAACACAUGCAAGUCGAACGGAAAGGCCCCUUUGGGGGUACUCGAGUGGCGAACGGGUGAGUAACACGUGAGUAACCUGCCCUUGACUUCGGGAUAACUUCAGGAAACUGGGGCUAAUACCGGAUAGGAAUCCUUGCUGCAUGGUGGGGGUUGGAAAGCUUCGGCGGUUUUGGAUGGACUCGCGGCUUAUCAGCUUGUUGGUGGGGUAGUGGCUUACCAAGGCUUUGACGGGUAGCCGGCCUGAGAGGGCGACCGGCCACAUUGGGACUGAGAUACGGCCCAGACUCCUACGGGAGGCAGCAGGGGGGAAUAUUGCACAAUGGGCGGAAGCCGGAUGCAGCAACGCCGCGGGCGGGAGGACGGCCUUCGGGUUGGAAACCGCUUUCAGCAGGGGCGAAGCUUGUGGUGACGGUACCUGCAGAAGAAGCACCGGCUAACUACGUG
rnacentral:rRNA from 1 species